GAGAGAGAUUUUGUUACUCGUCAUGUCCCCUGUACCACUUGAAGACCUCCACCUGACUCCCUCUUAGUCACCCUUGUUGUGUCCCCUGUACCACUUGAAGACCUCCACCAGACCCCCUCUUAGUCACCCUUGUCAUGUCCCCUGUACCACUUGAAGACCUCCACCAGACCCCCUCUUAGUCACCCUUGUUGUGUCCCCUGUACCACUUGAAGACCUCCACCAGACCCCCUCUUAGUCACCCUUGUUGUGUCCCCUGUACCACUUGAAGACCUCCACCAGACCCCCUCUUAGUCACCCUUGUCAUGUCCCCUGUACCACUUGAAGACCUCCACCAGACCCCCUCUUAGUCACCCUUGUUGUGUCCCCUGUACCACUUGAAGACCUCCACCAGACCCCCUCUUAGUCACCCUUGUUGUGUCCCCUGUACCACUUGAAGACCUCCACCAGACCCCCUCUUAGUCACCCUUGUUGUGUCCCCUGUGCCACUUGAAGACCUCCACCAGACCCCCUCUUAGUCACCCUUGUUGUGUCCCCUGUACCACUUGAAGACCUCCACCUGACCCCCUCUUAGUCACCCUUCUCUGAGGUACAACAGUGUCUAGUCAUCCUUCCUAUGUCAUCCUUGUGUAAUCAGGAAUAAUUAUCAGCAUUUGUACUCCUCCUGUCUGUCUGUCUGUCUGUCUGUCUGUCUGUCUGUCUGUCUGUCUGUCUGUCUGCCUACCAGUUAAAAUGAUUUAUGUAGUCAGUUAUACUUGUGAAUACUGUGUGUGUGUGUGUGUGUGUGUGUGUAUGAAUUAAUGUUAAUUGUGAAGUAUCUGCCUGCCUGCUUGCAAAUUAAUUAUCAAUAUAGUUACUGUUUGUGUGUUUGUGUGUGUUAUAAAGCAAUCUUGUGUAUAUUAUUGGUUGUAUUCCACAUGUAUGGGCUGGCCAGACGUGAUGUACUGUGACAGCCAGAACCUUGACAUAUACUGCUUGAUAAAAUGAAAAUAAGCAAAAAAACAUGAAUAAAGUAAAAAUUUUGAGCCGAACUAAUGAGGACUUUCUCUCGUCUUUUUCAGAGGUGCGUACAUCUGCGAGUCACUCCAACCAACCUCUUAUAUCCUACCUUAUUCUGAUAUAUUAGGUUAGAUUCAGUUAGGUUACUUAUAUUGGGGGCCUGUCUUCCUUACUAACCUAACCUAACCUAACCCACUCCUUCCUUCUCGUCAAGCUGUUGGUGGGAGAAGCCCCAGGACUCUCAAGCGUGGGUUGAGUCACAACUGCGGGUGUGCUAGCUCACCUUGAAGUCCGACGGGGCUCACGUGUUGCAGUGUUGCAGUGUUGCAGUGUUGCAGAUCUUCACCCAAACAAGGGGAGUAUUGUUUUUUUGUGUUGUUUUGUAUAUAUAUAUAUUUUUUUGUGGGGGGGAGGGGGUCUGGGGAUAGCUAUCUGCGGUGUGCGUCUGUGCGUGCGUCUGUGUGUGUGUGUGUCUGUGUGUGCGUCUGUGUGUGCGUCUGUGCACGUGCGUCUGUGUGCGUGCAUCUGUGUGUAUGUCUUUUUUUUGGUUGUGUGUGUGUGAAUAUUUUUUUUGGUAUAAAUAUAUAGGUGGUAGGCCUUAAUGUUAGGAUAUUUGACACAGAUUAAUAUAGAAGAUGGUUUAGGUUAGUUAAGGGUUAAGUGAGGCAUAGAGAGAGAGAGAGAGAGAGGAAGACAGAUAUUAAUAGGAUUAGCUUAUAUUUUUUUUAGGGUUUUAAGUAAGUAUCGAGGUGGCAGGUCAGAAUGAUAUAAUAUUUAACACAGAUUAAUAUAGAAGAUAGUUUUAAGUUAGUAUAUAUGAAAGGGUUAAGUGAGGCAUAGAGAGAGAGAGAUAGGGUUAUUAAUAGGAUGACAGGAGUAUAUAUGAAAGGGUUAAGUGAGGCAUAGAGAGAGAGAGAGAUAGGGUUAUUAAUAGGAUGACAGGAGUAUAUAUGAAAGGGUUAAGUGAGGCAUAGAAAGGGUUAUUAAUAGGAUUAGGAUGACAGGGUGUAUGAAUGUUUAACUCAGAUUAUAUUGAAAGUUUAUUUCUUUAUAAUCUGAGUUUGUAUGGCAUGUUGAGUAUUAGUAUGUUAUUUUUGUAGUGGUGGUAGUGGUGGUGGGACGUAUGAAUGAUAUUUUUUUUUUUUUUUUUUGGUGGGGGGGGGGCAAGGGGGGUAUAUAUAUAUAGUGUUAUAUAGAUUUUUUUUUUUUUUUUUUUCCCCAGAUCUUUGGUAAGAGAUCUGGGGAUUAUGUAUGUAUGUAUGUCUAGCCAGUAUUUUGGUAAGAUACUGGCUAGUGUGUGUGUGUGUGUG